UGGCUCAAUGGUAGAGCGUUUGACUCAAAUAUCAAAGGUCGUGGGUUCGAAUCCCAG
rnacentral:tRNA from 1 species